GGGCCCGCACAAGCAGUGGAGCAUGUGGUUUAAUUCGAUGCAACGCGAAGAACCUUACCAGGCCUUGACAUCCUCGGAACUUUCUAGAGAUAGAUUGGUGCCUUCGGGAACCGAGUGACAGGUGCUGCAUGGCUGUCGUCAGCUCGUGUCGUGAGAUGUUGGGUUAAGUCCCGUAACGAGCGCAACCCUUGUCCUUAGUUGCCAGCACAUUAUGGUGGGAACUCUAGCGAGACUGCCGGUGAUAAGCCGGAGGAAGGCGGGGAUGACGUCAAGUCCUCAUGGCCCUUAUGGGCUGGGCUACACACGUGCUACAAUGGCAGUGACAGAGGGACGCUACCAGGUGACUGGAUGCAAA
rnacentral:rRNA from 1 species